rnacentral:lncRNA from 1 species
CACCUGAGAGUCAUCUGACAGGGGCCAAUAAAAUUUAACACUUUUAAGAGUCAGCAGGUACUUUAACCCUUAGGAUAAUCUCUUUGUCCCUAUUCUUUGGGAAAUAACACAAUCAGAAGACUGUUUUGGGAAACUAUGAGGUUAAUGGUCAAAGUACAAUAAACAAAGUAACAGGGACUUCCCUGGUGAUCUAGUGGCUAAGACUAGUUCCCUAGUCAGGGAACUAGAUCCCACAUGCAGUGACUAAGACCCGGUGCAGCCAAAUAAAUUAACUAAAUAAAUUAAAAAAGAAAGAAAGAAACAGAUGGCCCUGAGCUGCUGAAAGCCACAUGCCCACAGAUGCCACUGGACAGAACUAGCCACUGUGUCUGCAAUUGUUCUCACUGGAGCAUUAAAACAAACCAGCAAGAAAACUGCCACACAAGAAGGAAAGAAGCACGAGUGGAUCAGGUGGUUUCAAAGAUCCUCAGAGAAGUCCAACCAGUUCAUCAUCACCACUCUGGAGCUGGGAGAAAAACAAGGAAGAGACUUACCACAGUACCCAGGUAGAAGGCAUGUUGCUCUCCACUUCUUGUCCCAGCCUGUUGCUGAAGUGGCAGGAACCAUCACCUGGACAUCCCAGCCACCCCAAAAGUGCUUCUCCAAGAGAAUUCUAAACCUUAGGCCUUCAGUCACCAGGCUAGCCUGGAAUCUCUGUGAAGGAGUACUGCCCUGGCUGGGCUUCCAAAGCUCUCAGGCUAGAAAAAAGAUGAAAGGAGGACAACCAAUGAGAAAAACAAGCAGAGUUACAGCCUUCCCACCAGCCCUUCUCAAAUAUCCAAGUAUCCAGUUCCCUAAAUGAGUCAGAAAUCAAUUUUGACAUCAAAACCAGUAUCAGAGACUCUAGUCUGAGAAAUCAUCAUUCCCAAUUUAGGGAGAUCUGGAUCAAGGAAAGCAUUAGAAUCUAGAACAUUCAGAGAUGAUAGCCCCAACUUAAGGAUUUAUCAAAUUAAGAGUUUAGCGAUGGAAAGUUCAGGAGGGAAAAGGAGAAAACAAAUUUAGAACUGCAGAAAAUACCUCCAUCAAGAAAGCACCGUAUGUAGGGUAACAUACUAGGAAAAGGGGUGGACGAAGCAGGUUUAGCAAGGCUGAGAAAAAAAGUUUGAAGAGUUAAAAAAGAUAACCUGUGAAGAGACGGCAGCAUAGCUAACACUUACCCUUCUUUUAAGAAUAACACACCGGAGGACG